ACUCCUCACAGCGCUGCUCCCCUCCCUGCCCUCCGCGCGGGCGCUGGAGCCGGCGGGGGCGCCCGCCGCCUCCUAGGAGCGCACGCUCCGCGCGCCCUGCCGGGGAGAGGGGGCGGGCGUGGGCGUGGGCGGGGGCGGGCGGGCGUCGGGGCAGCGGGGACCCCGAGCGGCGGCGAGAGGAGGGGGCUUCCCCGGAGGGUGCCCGGCGGCAGCGCCCGGCUCCUAGGCGUGAGCUGAGCCGGACCGGGAGCCGGCGGCGUGUCGCCAUGCCGGCGUGACGGGCGCCCCCGGCUGCCCGCGCGGGCCCCCGCGCUGCCCCACGCCGCGCCGCGCCGGCGCCGGGCGGCAGGAUGGGCUGUAUCCAAAGCAUCACCUGCAAGGCGCGGAUCCGGCGCGAGAACAUCGUGGUGUACGAUGUGUGCGCCACCAUCGACCAGUGCCCCACGCGCAUCGAGGAGACCUCGCCCAUCGUCCUGCGCUACAAGACCCCCUACUUCAAAGCCUCGGCCCGCGUGGUCAUGCCCCCCAUCCCCCGCCACGAGACCUGGGUGGUGGGCUGGAUCCAGGCGUGCAACCAGAUGGAGUUCUUCAACACCUACAGCGACCUGGGCAUGUCAAGCUGGGAGCUGCCUGACUUGAGGGAAGGGAGAGUAAAAGCCAUCAGUGACUCAGAUGGGGUGAGCUACCCUUGGUACGGGAACACCACAGAGACUGUGACCCUGGUUGGCCCCACCAACAAGAUCUCCAGGUUCUCCGUCAGCAUGAAUGACAACUUCUACCCAAGUGUGACGUGGGCAGUGCCAGUGAGUGACAGCAAUGUGCCAUUGCUCACAAGGAUCAAGAGGGACCAAAGUUUCACUACCUGGCUGGUGGCCAUGAACACCACCACAAAAGAGAAGAUCAUUCUGCAGACCAUCAAGUGGAGGAUGAGGGUGGACAUUGAGGUAGACCCUCUUCAGCUCUUGGGGCAACGGGCCCGGCUGGUGGGCAGGACUCAGCAGGAGCAGCCCCGGAUCCUGAGCCGGAUGGAACCCAUCCCCCCCAAUGCACUAGUGAAACCCAAUGCCAAUGAUGCCCAGGUCCUCAUGUGGAGGCCCAAGCGGGGGCCACCUCUGGUUGUUAUCCCUCCUAAGUAGAAACAGACUGGCCUGACUGUGUGUGGAGCACAUACCAGUGAGACACUUAGUGAGGUUGCCAGGGGUGGCAGGAGCCAAACUGAGUUUCUGAGCCAAAGCAGACCUCUUGGUUUGCCAGCCUAUGCAGCCACUUGUGAAGAGUAGGCCUGCUCCUUGGGCGGUAGAACCAUAUCCUUAGGAAAAGUUCUUCCUUUUAGGAAUAAAGAAAUCACUGAUUUGACAGACUUGCUGUGAUUACCAUGCAAGUAGCCAUAUUUUGGAGCUGACCAGGAUGAUUCUUUUAUCUGAACUAUUGACCAUUUCUUUCCUGUGAGAUGCAGGGGAUGGAAACGAAGUUAAACAGUGCCUGUGGCAAAUGCUGCUUCCCAACCAAUUAGAAGUUGGAGUGAAAACAUCCAUACCAGGUCAUCUAGUAGGACAAGGCACGCCCAGCAAGCAGAACCACAUGGCAGAGACUAAGAGGAGGAAAUGAGCAAUGGCUGUGGCUCCAGAAGCUGAAGCCCUGGACAGCUGAUUUCCCAUUAAAAUGAGUGCCAUCCUGCCUGUCUCCUCACCACCCUCCCAUCUCAUGACCCAUACCCCCUCCCAUCCCACCACGUGCCAUGCAGCACUCCCCAAGGGCUGGCUGGGCUGGCUGGUUGGCUCCUGAGGAGCUGUGUUGAAGUGGGAGUUGUGUCUGCUGUAUCUUUCUGUGUGAAAGAUUGGGUCCAUCCAGAUAUCAAGUUCAUCCCCAACCCUCUAACUGAAGCUGCCCAGGGAUGAAGAGCUGGUCAGCCUGGACUCCAGAUACCUAAAAUGACCCGGCCUUGGUUCCCAAACCCUGCCUUCCCUCCCUACACUUUUGGUUGGGAAACAGAAGGAUUAUGUAUCUUUCCUCUUUCUCCCUUCUCCACAUGGGUGGCUGAUGUUAACACUCUCUUAAGAUUUAUCUGAUCCUUAGAGA